rnacentral:piRNA from 1 species
UCAAAAAAAAAACGUUUUGCC